GACGAACGCUGGCGGCGUGCCUAAUACAUGCAAGUCGAGCGAGCUUGCCUAGAUGAAUUUGGUGCUUGCACCAGAUGAAACUAGAUACAAGCGAGCGGCGGACGGGUGAGUAACACGUGGGUAACCUGCCCAAGAGACUGGGAUAACACCUGGAAACAGAUGCUAAUACCGGAUAACAACACUAGACGCAUGUCUAGAGUUUAAAAGAUGGUUCUGCUAUCACUCUUGGAUGGACCUGCGGUGCAUUAGCUAGUUGGUAAGGCAACGGCUUACCAAGGCAAUGAUGCAUAGCCGAGUUGAGAGACUGAUCGGCCACAUUGGGACUGAGACACGGCCCAAACUCCUACGGGAGGCAGCAGUAGGGAAUCUUCCACAAUGGACGCAAGUCUGAUGGAGCAACGCCGCGUGAGUGAAGAAGGGGUUCGGCUCGUAAAGCUCUGUUGGUAGUGAAGAAAGAUAGAGGUAGUAACUGGCCUUUAUUUGACGGUAAUUACUUAGAAAGUCACGGCUAACUACGUG
rnacentral:rRNA from 1 species